GAUGAAGAACGUAGCGAAAUGCGAUACGUAAUGUGAAUUGCAGAAUUCAGUGAAUCAUCGAAUCUUUGAACGCAUAUUGCGCUCUCUGGUAUUCCGGAGAGCAUGCUUGUUUGAGUAUCAGUAAACACCUCAACUUCCAUAUCUUUUUUGAAAUGGGAGUUGGACUUGAGUGAGCCCAACGCUUUUCCUCACCGAAAAGUGGCGGGUUACUUGAAAUGCAGGUGCAGCUGGACUUUUCUCUGAGCUAUAAGCAUAUCUAUUUAGUCUGCCUAAAAAACAGAUUAUUACCUUUGCUGCAGCUAACAUAAAGGAGAUUAGUUCUUGUGCUGACUGAUGCAGGAUUCACAAAGACAGGCUUCGGCCGACUUUGUAAACUCGAUCUCAAAUCAAGUAAGACUACCCGCUGAACUUAAGCAUAUCAAUAAGCGGAGGA
rnacentral:misc_RNA from 1 species